rnacentral:rRNA from 1 species
UACGGGGGGGGCAAGCGUUGUUCGGAAUUACUGGGCGUAAAGGGCCAGUAGGCGGCCAACUAAGUCCGACGUGAAAUCCCCAGGCUUAACCUGGGAACUGCGUCGGAUACUGGAUGGCUUGAAUUCGGGAGAGGGAUGCAGAAUUCCAGGUGUAGCGGUGAAAUGCGUAGAUAUCUGGAGGAAUACCGGUGGCGAAGGCGGCAUCCUGGACCGACAUUGACGCUGAUGCGCGAAAGCUAGGGGAGCAAACGGG